UACGUAGGGUGCAGGCGUUAAUCGGAAUUACUGGGCGUAAAGCGUGCGCAGGCGGCCAUCCAAGUCAGUGGUGAAAGCCCGGAGCUCAACUCCGGAAUAGCCAUUGAAACUGUUCGGCUCGAGUACGAGAGAGGUGAGUGGAAUUCCCAGUGUAGAGGUGAAAUUCGUAGAUAUUGGGAAGAACACCGGUGGCGAAGGCGGCUCACUGGCUCGUUACUGACGCUCAGGCACGACAGCGUGGGGAUCAAACAGG
rnacentral:rRNA from 1 species